AAUCAUUAAGAAUCAUUAUUUGCCAAGCUGAGUAUUACACAGUGCACAAAAUCAACUGCAUUGAUUGUGACGCAUCUUAUCAGUGGCCAGAUCAGCAGACAAUUGCAUACUAGAAUAUCUGAAUAUCGAAAUCAUAUCAGGAGGAAUAUAACAAAUCGCUCUGUGAUUACCGACUCGAGAAAGACUCGAUUUUGAUCACGAGUUCGAAUGAAAUGACGUCGAAAUUUUAGAUAUUUCACCUUGUCGCAUACAAAUGGAUACGUUAAUGCCUCGAGCAUUAUGUCUGAAUUAGACCAUCAGACUAAUACACUUUAAAUUCAGAAUCUUGCAGUUCUUAAUUUGAUUGUGAUAAGUUGAGACUCCGCUUAAUAUCUACUUCAUCAACUCUGCACUUCAUUUCGGACACAAGAAUAAACUUUCUCCUUUUUUAACAAUUUUUUAUCAUACAACUGAAUAUUAAAUAAUAAGAAAGAUGCAAGAGUUGCAUCGAGAAUUCAGUAAUUAUCGUGGGCCGAAUUGAAGAAAGAGACAGUUUGGACGUAUUUAUUAAUUUUUAAUCAUUGACUUCUUUAUUGAUUUUAUAAUUAUUAUUUCGUUCUUUUCUUUCCGUAUUUGUAUUACCGUAUUUGUAUUGUCCUUGUUGAUUUGGGCCGAUUGCGUUUAGAUUACAAUUUUGUUAAAUAGCGGUAAAGAUGAUUCAAAAAAGGAUCGAAACGCAUUUUUUUUUACCGUUAUUAAUCAAUAAAUAUAUUGUUUUUGCGGUCUAUAUUCUGCACCUGGCUCCUUGCGUCGCUUAUCCCGUUAUUAAUUUUUUUACUAACGGAGCCUCUCUUUAUUAUAUUUAAUAUUUAUUAACAUAUCUAUAAAAGAAAAAAGAGAAACCAUUUGCCAAAAUUGAAGUACAGAAUAGAAAAAAUUUUGCUAAAUUGGAGGUUAGGUCUGUCCUUCCUAUUGCAGAA